CCUAAGUUAUAUUUAAAUAAGCAAAAACCACCCUAUUCUUCUAACACUGUUUGUUUGAUCUGUUACAGUAAUGAAAACAAAACUUAUUCCAUUGUUGAAGCCAUUCUGCUGCACCUCCAACAACACAUUGACAUCACCUAUUAAUUCACAAUAGUCAAAUUAGUGAUUCCAAAUUCUAAUACUACGUUAAUUCCUCCAUUAAGUGACUUAUUAUUCUUGUUCUACAUAUUUUCACCUCCAUCUGUGA
rnacentral:lncRNA from 1 species